rnacentral:lncRNA from 1 species
UUUAUUUUGUCUGGAUUGUGCUUCUAGAAAUGGGGGCUCUCUAGAACUUAAUCAAAGAGUCAAAGACCCGUAGAGAAAGCAACUUGCUUUAUAAAUUAUAAUUACGCCUAAUAAUCAAAUCACCACACGACUACAGCGACACAAACUCAUCAAUAUAUUGAAGCUCAAUCACUCACACAAAAAACCCAAAUCGAAUUUUAAUUUCUAUGGGUUUGUUUCGGACAAGAAGGAACUUGUAUUUACUUUUGCUUGUAGCAUGUAUAGCAAUUCAAGAAACCAGCAGAGGUGAAACUCGGACAAUUCCCUUCCGACAGCAACUAGGUAACAUCUUGUCUUGUACCUUCGCCUCCUCUCUCUCUCUCUCUCACUCUCAUGCUGUGUUGAUAAUGAUGAUGAACAGGCAAAAACAGAACAUUUGCAACACUAGGACUGGUAUGCAAGUGCUGUAAUGGUGGAGAAGAAUCGUGUACAGUUUCAUGGAAAGGAUCCUGCUCCAAACUUCAGUGUCUGCCUUGGAAAUUUCAAUAACAUUUGGAUAUAUAUGUAUAGUUUUUAUUCAAAGGGAUCUACAAAUUUUGUAUUGAAAUGAUGAGUGUGUGUAUAUAUAUGUAUAUAGGUUUAUGUGCUGAGUUCUUCUUGUCCAUCUUAUUUCAUUAAAUUUUUUUAUGUUGUUUGGAGGAUGUUUGAUCCACCAACUUCACAUGCAUUUGGGUCGAAAGAAAGAAUUUUUGUUGUGAGAUUAUAUUAACUUGAAACGUACAUCAACAUGAGAUUUAAGAAUUUGAAUUAAAUAAAAUUUAGAUCUCAUACAAAUUUCAUGUCUAACACAGUUUUUGUGUUAAUGCUAUAUGUUCCAACUUAAAACACCUAAGUUGACUCGCAAGAGAACGAAGUCAAUUUUACCGUAGUAAAUUAACCCAAGUCAAUUAUCAAGGAAAGCUACUACAAAAAAAGGGAGAUUAUUG